rnacentral:rRNA from 1 species
GACAGAGGGGGGCAAGCGUUGCUCGGAAUUACUGGGCGUAAAGCGUGCGCAGGCGGUUUUGUAAGUCUGUCGUGAAAGCCCCGGGCUCAACCUGGGAAUUGCGAUGGAGACUGCAAGGCUUGAAUCUGGCAGAGGGGGGGUAGAAUUCCACGUGUAGCAGUGAAAUGCGUAGAGAUGUGGAGGAACACCGAUGGCGAAGGCAGCCCCCCUGGGUCAAGAUUGACGCUCAUGCACGAAAGCGUGGGGAGCAAACAGG